rnacentral:lncRNA from 1 species
AGGGAGUAUGAUGGAAGGUCUGAUCUUCAUGUUGGAAUAACUAACACAAAUGUGCACAUGGUGUCCAGCGAGACGGAGAAGGGUGGGAAGAGAGCAUAAGCAUCCCAUUACUGCAGCCCAACAUGUAUGGAAUGAUGGAGCAAUGGGACAAGUACCUGGAAGACUUCUCCACCUCGGGGGCCUGGCUGCCUCACAGGUACACGACUGCAAAUGCUGACCCCUCGCUGACACUCACAUGCUAUGCAAGUGGGAUCCCCGUG